AUUGAACGCUGGCGGCAUGCCUUACACAUGCAAGUCGAACGGCAGCGCGGGGCAACCUGGCGGCGAGUGGCGAACGGGUGAGUAAUAUAUCGGAACGUACCCUGGAGUGGGGGAUAACGUAGCGAAAGUUACGCUAAUACCGCAUACGAUCUAAGGAUGAAAGCAGGGGACCGCAAGGCCUUGUGCUCCUGGAGCGGCCGAUAUCUGAUUAGCUAGUUGGUAGGGUAAAGCCUACCAAGGCAUCGAUCAGUAGCUGGUCUGAGAGGACGACCAGCCACACUGGAACUGAGACACGGUCCAGACUCCUACGGGAGGCAGCAGUGGGGAAUUUUGGACAAUGGGCGCAAGCCUGAUCCAGCAAUGCCGCGUGAGUGAAGAAGGCCU
rnacentral:rRNA from 1 species